GACGAAUGCUGGCGGCGUGCCUCAUACAUGCAAGUAGGACGCAGUUGCGAACGGGUGAGUAACGCGUAGGUAACUGCCCAUUAGAGGGGGAUAACUAUUGGACACGAUAGCUAAUACCGCAUACUAGGAGAUGGACCUGCGUUGUAUUAGCUAGUAGGUAGGGUAAUGGCCUACCUAGGCGACGGUACAUAGCCGGCCUGGGAAGGUGGUCGGCCACACUGGGAGUGGGACACGGCCCAGACGCCUACGAGAGGCAGCAGUAGGGAAUCUUCGGCAAUGGGGGGGACCCUGACCGAGCAACGCCGCGUGAGUGAAGAAGGUUUUGGGGUCGUAAAGCUCUGUUGUUAAGGAAGCGGUACUUAACCAGAAAGGGACGGCUAACUACGUGCCAGCCGCCGCGGUAAUAC
rnacentral:rRNA from 1 species